rnacentral:misc_RNA from 1 species
CUAGCAAUUUUUAUAACACAUAAAGAAAAACAUUUCAAGAUAAAAACAAAGCUGCUAUAGGGUUAUUAAAAAUGAUUAAAGUAUGAAUACAGGAAGUUAUCCUACAUUUGUGACCGCUGCGCCGGCAACUUCAUUCAACCCCUGUUCAAGUGCAAAUAUGACUCAGGUGAAUGCGGGCAAUAAAUUUACCAAUGUCCAACAACAGACAGCUACAGUAAAUACUAAUACAGUAGUUAAUACUUCUAAUACAAGCGGACAAGUUGUUGCAUUAUUAAACAGUGAUGAAGCUGGCGUUACUUACUUAAGACCACUUGAUUCAAAUGGUUUUGCUGUUAAUUUAGCUGGUGUUGGAUCUUCUAACCAACAAGGACAAAUAUUUACUAUUCCCAUAACUGUUCCUGGUUCAAAGCCUGGUGAACAAAGCCAAACUAUACAAAUUCAAGUUGUUGGUCAAGGUGGUAUAUCUGGAGAUAAACUAUUGCCAGUUUUUGGACCUGUGUUACAGUUAGCAUAUAACCAACAACAAGACAAUGGAAGCAUUCAACUUCAAUUACAACAAGAUGGUGAUGUUUCAAAUGACCAAAUACAUAAUAAUAAUAAUGAUUCCAUGCAAUCAUCUGACUUAUUGCAAGAAGUUCAAGAAGACCAAGAGAUGAUACAAGAUGUUAAACCAGUAAUUAUCGAACAAAGCAGCACAGAUAGUAAUGGUAUGCAAUUUCCAUUGGCCGUUGUGGUAAAUCAAGAUAUGGUAGUGCGGCGUAAUCAGCAAGAUAACAAAAUAAUUGGCGAUCAAAAAGAUAAUCAGGCGGACAAACGAUUAAGAAUUCAAAAUGAACAAGAUUCAGCCAGUCAAUAUGUGAUGACUUAUUCAUCUAACACAAGCAAUUCUGUUUCAUUAGCUGAUUAUAUAUCAAUGAAUCAUGAUAAUAUUCCUCUUGGACACUUUUUAAAAUUUUCACCUGAUAAUAAUAAAAGAGAGAGUAUGGAAUCAACUGGGACUCAAGAAGAUGGCAAUAGUGAAAUGGUUGUGUAUGAAGAUGCUAAUAGUCAAGAAAAGGGUAAAAGGAAAAAAAAAUACAAAAAGAAACCACCAGCUGCUCGAAAACCUCGACCUGGGCAAAUACAUAUUGCUACUGCCUUAGAUGGUACUCUUUUGUUUUGUUGUCCAGAAUGUAGUAUGGCUUACCCAGAUAAAGAAAUGCUUGAACAACAUUUAGUUGCUCAUAAAAUAGAAAGAAGAUUUAUUUGUGAUCUUUGUGGUGCUGGACUUAAACGUAAAGAACAUUUAGAACGGCAUAAAUUAGGUCAUAAUCCAGAACGUCCUUUUGUGUGUAAUGUGUGUUGUAAAGGUUUCAAGAGAAAAGAACAUUUAAAUUUGCAUGCUGUAAUCCAUUCAGGUGUAAAGACUGAAGUAUGUCAGGAUUGUGGUAAAGGUUUUUAUAGACGAGAUCAUUUAAGAAAGCACACUCAAAGUCAUAUUACCAAACGUCUAAAAGAAGAGCAUGCUGCGCUUCAACAAUUAGCUGAACAAGUAACAGUAUCUGAUCGCCAAAAAUUGUCUGUCCCAGAGUUGAUUCAAAAUCAAGCUCAUUCUACACCAAUCAUUAAUCUGGCUCAUCAAGAAAUGAUUAUUGAUGCUGUUGCUAGUGGAAGACACACCCCUACCCCUCCUAAUGAUCAUCAAAUUGUCAUUACCAAAGGAAACCAAAAACUUACUGAACAAGAAUUAAUUAUAUUGCAACAGCAACAAAUUCAACAGCAGCAGCAACAAAUACAACAACAACAACAGCAGCAGCAGCAGCAGCAGCAGCAACAACAACAACAACAACAACAACAGCAGCAGCAGCAACAGCAACAACAACCAAAUAGUCCAAAUAUAGCUCAACAAGAGAUGAUUAUUGAAGCUGUAGGACAACAACAACAAAGUCCGUCUUCACCACAUGUAGAACAUCAUCAAGUAGUUAUUACUAAACUGGAACCAAAUGAAGACUCUAGAGAAAACGAAAGUAUUGUAUUGACUCAGACAGAUGCUAGAGAAGCACUUGGUUUACUGCACCAUCAACCUCAAUGACCUCUACUCUCAAUUACUAAGGUGACAAUUAAACAGAAACCACCAUAAUAAUAGGAUUGUGGGGAGAGAAGAACAUUGAUCCCUUUUCAAUUGAGUGAAAAUAAAAUUUUUACCAAACCUUUUAUUUGUUGCGGACAUGAUAUUGUUAUCCAAAUGAAAAAAUGAAACCUUUAAUAAUCACAUUUAUUGAUAUUUAAAUUUCAAUAAUAAAUCAAGAUCAUAGAAAACUACUGUUGGUGUACUAUUGAUUAUAUAUUUUCUAUUUUUUUAAA